GACGAACGCUGGCGGCGUGCCUAAUACAUGCAAGUUGAGCGCUGAAGGUUGGUACUUGUACCAACUGGAUGAGCAGCGAACGGGUGAGUAACGCGUGGGGAAUCUGCCUUUGAGCGGGGGACGACAUUUGGAAACGAAUGCUAAUACCGCAUAAAAACUUUAAACACAAGUUUUAAGUUUGAAAGAUGCAAUUGCAUCACUCAAAGAUGAUCCCGCGUUGUAUUAGCUAGUUGGUGAGGUAAAGGCUCACCAAGGCGAUGAUACAUAGCCGACCUGAGAGGGUGAUCGGCCACAUUGGGACUGAGACACGGCCCAAACUCCUACGGGAGGCAGCAGUAGGGAAUCUUCGGCAAUGGACGAAAGUCUGACCGAGCAACGCCGCGUGAGUGAAGAAGGUUUUCGGAUCGUAAAACUCUGUUGGUAGAGAAGAAAGUUGGUGAGAGUGGAAAGCUCAUCAAGUGACGGUAACUACCCAGAAAGGGACGGCUAACUACGUG
rnacentral:rRNA from 1 species